rnacentral:tRNA from 1 species
GGAGACGUAUCGAAGCGGUCAUAACGAGCUCGACUCGAAAUCGAGUAGCCGGUGAAACGGCACGUGGGUUCGAAUCCCACCGUCUCCGCCA